rnacentral:tRNA from 1 species
AUUUAUUUAGUAUAAAAAGUACAUUUAGCUUCCAACUAAAAAGUUUUAUUUAAAAAUAAAUA